rnacentral:rRNA from 1 species
CCUACGAGUGGCAGCAGUGAGGAAUAUUGGUCAAUGGGCGCGAGCCUGAACCAUCCAAGUCGCGUGAGGGAGGCCGGCCCUACGGGUUGUAAACCUCUUUUGCCGGGGAGCAACGGGCGUCCCGUGUGGCGCCACUGCGAGUACCCGGAGAAAAAGCAUCGGCUAACUCCGUGCCAGCAGCCGCGGUAAUACGGAGGAUGCGAGCGUUAUCCGGAUGUAUUGGGGUUAAAGGGGGCGUAGGCGGAUCGUUAAGUCCGUGGUCAAAUGGAGGGGCUCAACCCCUUCCCGACAUUGAACCUGGCGCUCUUGAGUGGAAGAGAAGUAUGCGGAAUGCGUGGUGUAGCGGUGAAAUGCAUAGAUAUCACGCAGAACCCCGAUUGCGAAGGCAGCAUGCCGGCUUCCGACUGACGCUGAAGCACGAAAGCGUGGGGAUCGAACAGGAUUAGAUACCCCAGUAGUC